rnacentral:rRNA from 1 species
GCAUAUCAAUAAGCGGAGGAAAAGAAACCAACAGGGAUUGCCCUAGUAACGGCGAGUGAAGCGGCAACAGCUCAAAUUUGAAAUCUGGCUCUUUUAGGGUCCGAGUUGUAAUUUGCAGAGGGCGCUUUGGCGUUGGCAGCGGUCCAAGUUCCUUGGAACAGGACGUCACAGAGGGUGAGAAUCCCGUACGUGGUCGCUGGUCUUCGCCGUGUAAAGCCCCUUCGACGAGUCGAGUUGUUUGGGAAUGCAGCUCUAAAUGGGAGGUAAAUUUCUUCUAAAGCUAAAUACUGGCCAGAGACCGAUAGCGCACAAGUAGAGUGAUCGAAAGAUGAAAAGCACUUUGGAAAGAGAGUCAAAUAGCACGUGAAAUUGUUGAAAGGGAAGCGCUUGCAGCCAGACUUGCCUGUAGUUGCUCAUCCGGGCUUUUGCCCGGUGCACUCUUCUAUAGGCAGGCCAGCAUCAGUUUGGGCGGUUGGAUAAAGGUCUCUAUCACGUACCUCUCUUCGGGGAGGCCUUAUAGGGGAGACGACAUGCAACCAGCCUGGACUGAGGUCCGCGCAUUGCUAGGAUG